rnacentral:rRNA from 1 species
UAUAGGUUUGGUCCCAGCCUUCCUGUUAACUUUCAAUAGACUUAUACAUGCAAGCAUCCACGCCCCGGUGAGUAACGCCCUUCGAAUCACACAGGACUAAAAGGAGCAGGUAUCAAGCACACACUCUUGUAGCUCACAACGCCUUGCUUAACCACACCCCCACGGGAGACAGCAGUAACAAAAAUUAAGCCAUAAACGAAAGUUUGACUAAGCCAUAUUGACCAGGGUCGGUAAAUCUCGUGCCAGCCACCGCGGUCAUACGAUUGACCCAAGCUAACAGGAGUACGGCGUAAAGCGUGUUAAAGCAUCAUACUAAAUAGAGUUAAAUUUUAAUUAAACUGUAAAAAGCCAUAAUUAUAACAAAAAUAAAUGACGAAAGUAACCCUACAAUAGCUGAUACACCAUAGCUAAGACCCAAACUGGGAUUAGAUACCCCACUAUGCUUAGCCCUAAACACAAAUAAUUAU